AUUGAACGCUGGCGGCAGGCCUAACACACGCAAGUCGAACGAGUGGCGGACGGGUGAGUACUGUCUGGGAAACUGCCUGAUGGAGGGGGAUAACUACUGGAAACGGUAGCUAAUACCGCAUACCAUCGGAUGUGCCCAGAUGGGAUUAGCUAGUAGGUGGGGUAAAUGCUCACCUAGGCGAAGAUCCCUAGCUGGUCUGAGAGGAUGACCAGCCACGCUGGGACUGAGACACGGUCCAGACUACGACGUGAGGCAGCAGUGGGGAAUAUAGCACAAUGGGCGCAAGCCUGAUGCAGCCAUGCCGAAUGUAUGAAGAAGGCCUGCGGGUUGUAAAGUACAUUCAGCGGGGAGGCGUUACCCGCAGAAGAAGCACCGGCUAACUCCGUGCGAGCCGCCGCGGUAAUA
rnacentral:rRNA from 1 species